rnacentral:rRNA from 1 species
UUAAGUCUACGGGACGCAGCAGUGGGGAAUUUUGGACAAUGGGCGCAAGCCUGAUCCGGCUAUUCCGCGUGUGGGAUGAAGGCCCUCGGGUUGUAAACCACUUUUGUAGAGAACGAAAAGACACCUUCGAAUAAAGGGUGUUGCUGACGGUACUCUAAGAAUAAGCACCGGCUAACUACGUGCCAGCAGCCGCGGUAAUACGUAGGGCGCGAGCGUUAAUCGGAAUUACUGGGCGUAAAGGGUGCGCAGGCGGUUGAGUAAGACAGAUGUGAAAUCCCCGAGCUU